GACGAACGCUGGCGGCGCGCCUAACACAUGCAAGUCGAACGCGGAGGCUAUAGCAAUAUAGUAGUAGAGUGGCGCACGGGUGAGGAACACGUAGGUAAGUCUGCCUUAGAGACCGGGAUAACCAGUCGAAAGAUUGGCUAAUACUGGAUAGAGCGGGAUGGUUGUGAGGACUAUCCUGGGAAAGGGUGGCCAUAGCAAUAUGGCUAAUGGCUUUAAGAUGAGCCUGCGUCCCAGUUAGUUAGUUGGUGAGGUAAGAGCUUACCAAGGCGAUGAUGGGUAGCUGGUCUGAGAGGACGAUCAGCCACACUGGAACUGAAACACGGUCCAGACUCCUACGGGAGGCAGCAGUGGGGAAUCUUGCGCAAUGGGGGAAACCCUGACGCAGCGACG
rnacentral:rRNA from 1 species